rnacentral:rRNA from 1 species
AUGAACGCUAGCGGCAGGCUUAACCCAUGCAAGUCGAGGGGCAGCGCGGGAUAGCAAUAUCCUGGCGGCGACCGGCGGAAGGGUGCGUAACGCGUGAGCGACAUGCCCGUUGCCCGGGGACAACCGGUGGAAACGCCGACUAAUCCCCGAUGGGAUAUUGUGCCGCAUGGCACGAUAUUGAAAGUUACGGCGGCGACGGAUUGGCUCGCGUCCGAUUAGCUGGUUGGCGGGGUAACGGCCCACCAAGGCUGCGAUCGGUAGGGGUUCUGAGAGGAAGGCCCCCCACAAUGGGACUGAGACACGGCCCAUACUCCUACGGGAGGCAGCAGUGAGGAAUAUUGGUCAAUGGGCGGAAGCCUGAACCAGCCAUGCCGCGUGCGGGAAGGAGGCCCUAUGGGCUGUGAACCGCUUUUGCCUGGGGGCAAUAAGGGCGUCGCGCACGUCCGAUGAGAGUACCAGGCGAAUAAGCAUCGGCUAACUCCGUG